rnacentral:rRNA from 1 species
CGAAACCGCGAAUGGCUCAUUAAAUCAGUUAUGGUUCACUAGAUCGUAUGAAUUACAUGGAUAACUGUGGUAAUUCUAGAGCUAAUACAUGCAUCCAGCUCGGCUGCCUUGUGCAGCGAGCGCAGUUAUUAGAACAAAACCAAUCCGGCUUCUGUCGGUAAAUUGGUGACUCUGAAUAACCGAAGCGGAGCGCUAAGGUCUCGUACCGGCGCCAGAUCUUUCAAGUGUCUGACUUAUCAGCUUGUUGCGAGGUUAUGUUCCUCGCAUGGCUGUUACGGGUGACGGGGAAUCAGGGUCCGAUUCCGGAGAGGGAGCCUGAGAAACGGCUACCACAUCCAAGGAAGGCAGCAGGCGCGCAAAUUACCCACUCCCGGCACGGGGAGGUAGUGACGAAAAAUAACG